UACGGGGGGGGCAAGCGUUGUUCGGAAUUACUGGGCGUAAAGGGUCUGUAGGUGGCCAAUUAAGUCAGACGUGAAAUCCCUCAGCUUAACUGGGGAACUGCGUCUGAGACUAGAUGGCUCGAGUGCAGGAGAGGAAUGCGGAAUUCCAGGUGUAGCGGUGAAAUGCGUAGAUAUCUGGAGGAACACCGGUGGCGAAGGCGGCAUUCUGGACUGCAACUGACACUGAAAGACGAAAGCCAGGGGAGCAAACGGG
rnacentral:rRNA from 1 species